rnacentral:tRNA from 1 species
GUCUGGCUGGCUCAGUCGAUAGAGCAUAUGACUCUUGAUUUUAGGAUUGUGAGUUCAAGGCCCACGCUGGUUG